rnacentral:lncRNA from 1 species
GUUGCUGCCCCUGAAUUGGUAAUUUUAAGGAAAUUUUGCUGUUUUGGGUUAUUAUCAUGAAUAUUAUUAUAGAUAGAGAUAAACUGUAAACAGAAAAAAUGUUCAGCAAAGUAAGAUUUACAAAUAAGUCAACAUGACCGAAAUGGUCAGUUGACCCCUUUAGGAGUUAUGGCCCUUUAUAGUCAAUUUUUAACCAUUUUCCGUAAAUCUUAGUUACCUUUUACAAAAAUCUUCUCCUCUGAAACUACUGGGUCAAAUUGAACCAAACUUGGCAACAAUCAUCAUUGGGGUAUCUAGUUUAAAAAUUGUGUCCGGUGACCCGGCCAACCAACCAAGAUGGCCACCAUGGCUAAAAAUAGAACAUAGGGGUAAAAUCAGUUUUUGGCUUAUAACUCAAAAACCAAAGCAUUUAGAGCAAAUCUGACAGAAGUUAAAUGGUUUAUCAGGUCAAGAUCUAUCUGCCCUGAAAUUUUCAGAUGAAUCAGACAACCGAUUGUUAGGUUGCUGCCUCUGAAUUGGUUAUUUUAAGGAAAUUUUGCUGUUUUUGGUUAUUAUCAUGAAUAUUAUUAUAGAUAGAGAUAAACUGUAAACAGCAAAAAUGUUCAGCAAAGUAAGAUUUACAAAUAAGUCAACAUGACCGAAAUGGUCAGUUGACCCCUUUAGGAGUUAUGGCCCUUGAUAGUCAAUGUUUAACCAUUUUCCGUAAAUCUUAGUUAUCUUUUACAAAAAUCUUCUCCUCUGAAACUACUGGGCCAAAUUUAACCAAACAUGGCCAAAAUCAUUAUUAGGGUAUCUUGUUUAAAAAUUGUGUCCGGUGACCUGGCUAACCAACCAAGAUGGCCACCAUGGCUAAAAAUAGAACAUAGGGGUAAAAUGCAGUUUUAAGCUUAUAACUCACAAACCAAAGCAUUGAGAGCAAAUCUGACAUGGGUAAAAUUGUUUAUCAGGUCAAGAUCUAUCUGCCCUGAAAUUUUCAGAUGAAUCGGACAACCCGUUGUUGGGUUGCCGCCCCUGAAUUGGUAAUUUUAAGGAAAUUUUGCUGUUUUUGGUUAUUAUCUUGAAUAUUAUUAUAGAUGUAGAUAAACUGUAAACAGCAAUAAUGUAAUGCUUGGGGUAUACAAUGUUUUUUUAUACUUUCAUCAUAAAUUAUAUUAUGAACACAAGACAAACGAGACAUUUCAGUGUGUCCACUCUUGUUUUUGCUUUUGAAGAAGAUAUGACAGAAUCGAAGAACCAUUUAUAUAAAUUGAAAACCCAAAAUAAUCAUUCAUGGAAGAUUUAAGCAAAAAAUUUAAGGUGAGCG